CACGGAAAGAAAAACAAAGGGGGUAACAAAAAAAGACGUACCCUUCGGUUCGGAAUAACUCUGGGAAACUAGAGCUAAUACCGGAUACGCCCUUACGGGGAAAGGUUUACUGCCGAUGGAUCGGCCCGCGUCUGAUUAGCUAGUUGGUGGGGUAAAGGCCUACCAAGGCGACGAUCAGUAGCUGGUCUGAGAGGAUGAUCAGCCACAUUGGGACUGAGACACGGCCCAAACUCCUACGGGAGGCAGCAGUGGGGAAUAUUGGACAAUGGGCGCAAGCCUGAUCCAGCCAUGCCGCGUGAGUGAUGAAGGCCUUAGGGUUGUAAAGCUCUUUUGUCCGGGACGAUAAUGACGGUACCGGAAGAAUAAGCCCCGGCUAACUUCGUGCCAGCAGCCGCGGUAAUACGAAGGGGGCUAGCGUUGCUCGGAAUCACUGGGCGUAAAGGGCGCGUAGGCGGCUAUUUAAGUCGGGGGUGAAAGCCUGUGGCUCAACCACAGAAUUGCCUUCGAUACUGGAUAGCUUGAGUUCGGAAGAGGUUGGUGGAACUGCGAGUGUAGAGGUGAAAUUCGUAGAUAUUCGCAAGAACACCGGUGGCGAAGGCGGCCAACU
rnacentral:rRNA from 1 species